rnacentral:misc_RNA from 1 species
UCUGCUUCUACUUGCCCUUAAGGUACUAUCCUUAACAAUAUAAAAUUAACUUUUUUCCUCCGUUUGUCUUUUUUGUCUUUCUCCUAUUUGUUGUUCAGAUUAGGCAAGUUCGGUUGCUUGUUAUCUAAUUUUAAGCCAAAUAUUUGUUGACUUGUGCCAGCUUUUUUGUGGUUUUCUAGACAAUACACUCUUGUGGAUUAUAAAUAUAUUUCCAAUGCUCUAUAUAUUUAGUUUCUGGACAGAGCGUUUACGAUCAGAUAAAUCCAUUUGCAUCAUGAUUUUCACUCUCUGCUGUGUAUGCCACUGUCUGAUGAUCACAUCUAUAAUAUGAUUGACUCAGGAGUUCUUAAGUAAUUUGCGUUCAGUCAAGUCAUUUGAAUCAUUUUUUGCAACUGUAGCAUAUUUCAAUAAUGUUGUAUGUAGCUAGUGGUAGUGUUAAAACAUUUUCUCCCCCAAUUUUUCUAGGCUUUUUGGAAGUCCUUACAAAGCAUCACAUAAACUGAUAGGAUAGGGAAGAUAUGUAAAUGAAUGCAUUUACUGUGUUCAUAGUUGUUAAAAGGACCCAAGGCACACCAGGCCCUAGAGCCAACGCCUUUGCAGGGAUGAGGCAGGAAACUUCACUGACCAGACUACCAUUAAUUUGCCAUGUAUAUAAUCCUGGUUAUUGAUGUCUUCAAUUAUUUUGUCUUCUCAUUUUUUUUUUCUUCUCCUUACUACUAGUGUUGGUAUCCUGUUCAUCAAGAUAUUAAUGUCUUCAAUUAUUUGUUCCUCUUAUUUUUCCCUUCUUCUCUUUACUACAACUAUUACUACUACUUAAUAUCGAUAAUUUGCAUUCAUCAGGUGAGAUAUCCAGAUCGGAUAA